AUUGAACGCUAGCGGCAGGCCUAACACAUGCAAGUCGAACGAGUGGCGGACGGGUGAGUAAUGUCUGGGAAACUGCCUGAUGGAGGGGGAUAACUACUGGAAACGGUAGCUAAUACCGCAUACCAUCAGAUGUGCCCAGAUGGGAUUAGCUAGUUGGUGGGGUAAAGGGUCACCAGGGCGACGAUCCCUAGCUGGUCUUAGAGGAUGACCCACCACACUGGAACUGUGACACGGUCCAGACUCCUACGGGAGGCAGCAGUGGGGAAUCUUGCACAAUGGGCGCAAGCCUGAUGCAGCAAUGCCGCGUGGAUGAAGAAGUCCUUCGGGUUGUAAAGUACUUUCAGCGGGGAGGCGUUACCCGCAGAAGAAGCACCGGCUAACUCCGUGCCAGCAGCCGCGGUAAUAC
rnacentral:rRNA from 1 species